AGGCCCGUAGCUUAGUGGUUAGAGCAGUCGGCUUAUAUCCGACCGGUCACAGGUUCGAAUCCUGUCGGGCCUACCA
rnacentral:tRNA from 1 species